GACGCCCAACACACAAAACAAGCGGUGAGUGCUUUGGGGUGGGGUGACUGCGUACCUUUUGUAUAAUGGGUCAGCGACUUAUAUUCUGUAGCAAGGUUAACCGUAUAGGGGAGCCGAAGGGAAACCGAGUCUUAACUGGGCGUUAAGUUGCAGGGUAUAGACCCGAAACCCGGUGAUCUAGCCAUGGGCAGGUUGAAGGUUGGGUAACACUAACUGGAGGACCGAACCGACUAAUGUUGAAAAAUUAGCGGAUGACUUGUGGCUGGGGGUGAAAGGCCAAUCAAACCGGGAGAUAGCUGGUUCUCCCCGAAAGCUAUUUAGGUAGCGCCUCGUGAACUCAUCUUCGGGGGUAGAGCACUGUUUCGGCUAGGGGGUCAUCCCGACUUACCAACCCGAUGCAAACUGCGAAUACCGAAGAAUGUUAUCACGGGAGACACACGGCGGGUGCUAACGUCCGUCGUGAAGAGGGAAACAACCCAGACCGCCAGCUAAGGUCCCAAAGUCACAGUUAAGUGGGAAACGAUGUGGGAAGGCUCAGACAGCCAGGAUGUUGGCUUAGAAGCAGCCAUCAUUUAAAGAAAGCGUAAUAGCUCACUGGUCGAGUCGGCCUGCGCGGAAGAUGUAACGGGGCUAAACUGUGCACCGAAGCUGCGGCAGCGACGCUUAUGCGUUGUUGGGUAGGGGAGCGUUCUGUAAGCCUGCGAAGGUGUCCUGUGAGGGAUGCUGGAGGUAUCAGAAGUGCGAAUGCUGACAUAAGUAACGAUAAUGCGGGUGAAAAGCCCGCUCGCCGGAAGACCAAGGGUUCCUGUCCAACGUUAAUCGGGGCAGGGUGAGUCGACCCCUAAGGCGA
rnacentral:rRNA from 1 species